CCUACGGGAGGCAGCAGUGAGGAAUAUUGGUCAAUGGACGAGAGUCUGAACCAGCCAAGUAGCGUGAAGGAUGACUGCACUAAGGAUUGUAAACUUCUUUUAUAAAGGAAUAAAACGAGGCACGUGUGCCUUUUUGCAUGUACUUUAUGAAUAAGCAUCGGCUAACUCCGUGCCAGCAGCCGCGGUAAUACGGAGGAUCCGAGCGUUAUCCGGAUUUAUUGGGUUUAAAGGGAUCGUAGGUGGAUUGUUAAGUCAGUUGUGAAAGGUUGCGGCUCAACCGUAGAAUUGCAGUUGAAACUUGCAGUCUUGAGUAGAGUAGAGGUGUGCGGAAUGCGUGGUGUAGCGGUGAAAUGCGUAGAUAUCGCGAAGAACUCCGAUUGCGAAGGCAGCACACUGGAUUGCAACUGACACUGAUGCUCGAAAGUGUGGGUAUCAAACAGGAUUAGAUACCCCAGUAGUC
rnacentral:rRNA from 1 species